UACGGAGGAUGCGAGCGUUAUCCGGAUCUAUUGGGUUUAAAGGGUGCGUAGGCGGGAUGCCAAGUCAGCGGUAAAAAUGCGGUGCUCAACGCCGUCGAGCCGUUGAAACUGGCGUUCUUGAGUGGGCGAGAAGUAUGCGGAAUGCGUGGUGUAGCGGUGAAAUGCAUAGAUAUCACGCAGAACUCCGAUUGCGAAGGCAGCAUACCGGCGCCCUACUGACGCUGAGGCGCGAAAGCGUGGGUAUCGAACAGG
rnacentral:rRNA from 1 species